rnacentral:rRNA from 1 species
GCAUAUCAAUAAGCGGAGGAAAAGAAACCAACAGGGAUUGCCUCAGUAACGGCGAGUGAAGCGGCAACAGCUCAAAUUUGAAAUCUGGCUCUUUCAGGGUCCGAAUUGUAAUUUGCAGAGGAUGCUUUGGGUGCGGGCGCCUUCCGAGUUCCCUGGAACGGGACGCCAUAGAGGGUGAGAGCCCCGUCUGGUAGGAUGCCCAGCCCGUGUAAAGCUCCCUCGACGAGUCGAGUAGUUUGGGAAUGCUGCUCUAAGGGGAGGUAUACUCCUUCCAAAGCUAAAUACCGGCUGGAGACCGAUAGCGCACAAGUAGAGUGAUCGAAAGAUGAAAAGCACUUUGAAAAGAGAGUCAAAUAGCACGUGAAAUUGUUGAAAGGGAAGCGCUCGCUACCAGACUUGGGUACGCGGUUCCGUAGGUGCUCCGCACCUGCGUACUCCUCGUGCCCAGGCCAGCAUCAGUUCUUCGUCGGGUUAAAAGGCUUCGGGAAUGUGGCUCGCCUCGGUGAGUGUUAUAGCCCGUUGUGUCAUGCCCGGUGGGGGACUGAGGUACGCGCUCCGCAAGGAUGCUGGCGUAAUGGUAGCUAGUGACCCGUCUUGAAACACGGACC